AAUGUGAACACUGGAUUAUCAGAGGAAACCAUCAGAAGUAAAUUGAAGACACGGAAAUGUUUAUCAUCACCGAUGUCAAUCAAUCUGGAAGAGGCAGCUUGUGCGGAUCAAGAAUCUGAUGCUUGCAUUAUAUGCCAGGAUGAUUACAAGCAUCAAGAGAAGAUUGGCACUCUUGAUUGUGGACACGAGUACCAUGCAGAUUGCUUGAAGAAGUGGCUGCGCGUGAAGAAUGUCUGCCCAAUCUGCAAAUCUGAAGCAUUGACUGCAGAAAGGAAGGAUGUAUAGGAGCAAUGAUGUCACCCUUCCCUUCAGGAAAUAAAAAAAUAUUUAUAGGAAACGGGUGAUGGUUGGAUGGUCAAUUAAACAUUGCUGUAUGUUCUUUCUGCUAAUUAUUUACUAUGGGCGAAGUUGGUUUUUUGGUAUGUUUUUUGUACAUUUAAAUGCAGAUAAUACAACUAACAGUCUCACUGUGAAUCAUUUGUUUGGUG
rnacentral:misc_RNA from 1 species